rnacentral:rRNA from 1 species
UACGAAGGGGGCUAGCGUUGUUCGGAAUUACUGGGCGUAAAGCGUAUGUAGGCGGUAUCGUUAAGUCGGGGGUGAAAUCCCGAGGCUCAACCUCGGGAACUGCCUUCGAUACUGGCGAUCUUCGAGUCCGGGAGAGGUGAGUGGGAACUCCGAGUGUAGAGGUGAAAUUCGUAGAUAUUCGGAAGAACACCAGUGGCGAAGGCGGCUCACUGGCCCGGUACUGACGCUGAAAUACGAAAAGCGUGGGG